rnacentral:rRNA from 1 species
CUGCUGCCUCCCGUAGGAGUCUGGGCCGUGUCUCAGUCCCAAUGUGGCCGUUCAACCUCUCAGUCCGGCUACUGAUCGUCGCCUUGGUGGGCCGUUACCCCGCCAACCAGCUAAUCAGACGCGAGCUCAUCUCCGGACGAUAAAUCUUUGACAUGGGAAACAUGCGGAUCCCCAUGUGUUAUGCGGUAUUAGCAGCCGUUUCCGGCUGUUAUCCCCCAUCCGAAGGCAGAUUGCUCACGCGUUA